AGGCCUCUCUUUCCUUCUCUCUCUCCAACUAUCAGUCGGCUACCCAAAUCCUUUCCCCCUGAAGACUUUGAACUGGUAAGAUUUCAAAACUUUCACAAGUAUUUCAUCUAUUAAUUUGUCAUAUUCAUUAUAUUUUUUAUGACGGCUUGUUUUUAUAAAGAACUCUGUGAAAUUUUGUUCUCCAAAUUUGAUUCAUUAAAGUUCAAAGGAACUUCAUAAAUAUCUAUAUAUUGUGAAUUAUGUGGUGUAUUAGAAUUGUAAGAUAGGCUCUCUUUGAUGAACAAUAUUUUAAUUGUUGAAAAUAUAGGAUUCCAUGUGUAUGAUCGUUCUCAAUGUCGUUGUAAUAUCUAGACAAGAAUUAAAAUUUAGUCGGGACAGUCAUGUGUGUAUGAAUUUUAUAAUCUAAUAUUCUGAUUUCUGUUCUCCUUUUUCUUCAGUUCACUUAAUAUUAUAAAUUCUAACACAUAUUUUGGUAAGGGGAGUGGGAAAAGUUUGACUUUUUAUUAGAAUUGCUAUGAUGGGAUUUGUAUGAGAAACUUUAGAGUUGAGUCCAAGAUAGAAUUUUCCCCCUAAUUUUGUUGUGAAAAUCUGAAGCAUUUAUGAGUAUGAGCACCUAAGGUAUAUUCCCACUCCAUAGGCAGUUAGGGAUUGUUAAUGAGGAGAGUCUAUGGAAUUAUGAUACUGCAUCAUAUAUUACUUCGGCAUACUGACUGUGAUCAUUAAAUUUUCCUUACGAAAAUGGCUUUUUAUAACCUAUGAAAAUUAGUCAAAGAUAUAAUACAUCAUAACAGAAUUAAAAAAUAGGCACGAGCACAUGGUAUACCAACAGUGAAGUAUUUCCUAUAAAAAAAAAGGGACUUCAAUCGAAGGAAUGAUUCUUUUCAAUUAAGUUGUACGAAAGGUAGAGAUAUGAUUCUUUUCUCAAGUCCUCGCGAUUUUAGUUACAAAAGGAGUUUUUCUCAGCAUUGUGGCAGCUGAUAUAUAAAUAAUUAUGCAGUUUGUGGGAUCUAUCCAUGAUUCCCAGAAGAUAGUGGAAGUUGGUUAACGGCUUUUAUAUAUAUACUAAUCUUUAAUGUAUGCGCAAUGCACGUGUAUCGAUAUCAAUGAAUAUAUAAUUUUAAAAAAUAUAGAUAUUAUCAAAUAAUGUGUGUAAGUUACAAAUAAAAAAAGGUGUAAGUCUUGAAAAUAAUGAAUACUAAUCUCACCUAGCUAUCUCUAAAAACUUGACAAGUUACAAUAUAAAGUCAAAAAUGGCUAAUAUUAAUUUAAUUUUUUUAAACAAUUAACUUAAUAUGUUAAACAUAUAAGGAGUUUUCAUUUAUUGGAAUAAAUGCAAAAUAAUAAUAUUAAUAAUAACAAUUAAUGCUUACUCAUUUAGAUAUAUUUUAUCUUUUACUGUCUUACCCUUAUUGUUACAAGUUUGUAAAUUUAUCAAUUUUGGACAAAUAAUAUGACCUUUUACUUUUGGAUCUUUGUGUGUAUAGAUUCAUUACAGUUAUUAGUCUCAUUGACUUAAUGUGUCAAAAACAAUAAGUAAAUGUAAUUUUUGGAAUAAAUGCAAAAUAGAAAGAAAAGUAGGUAAAUGUGAUUAAUUGAAAUUUAUUUAUAAUUUUUUUUGUCUUCUAUUGUUUCAUCCUUAUUAUUUCUAACUUGCUCUUUUUUCUAGUUUUCUUUCACCAUCAAUACUAUUCUUAUGGAAACGAUUUUAGUUAUCCUUUAACUUGAAUAUUAGUUACUUGGAAAAUGAUUGGGUUCUUUUUAUGAUUAAUUAAUUCGAAAAUUUAACUAUUUUUUUCUAAAUAUUUAAGGGACUAAUUUAAUUUUUUAAUUCAAAUUUUAAUUAUGAUCUCUUCCCAGUAUUUAAUAUUUCACUAUAACAUGAAAGGAAUUACAUUUAUAUUGCAUUCUUCAAAUAAGAAACAAAUUUAUAUGGUGAAUUUGGAGAAGAUCUAAAUUGGGUUUUAACUAAUUAGUUGAUACAAAGAAGUUUUUUUGUUAAAUUAGUUUGAUUACUUAUUUAUUUUGUUAUCAACAUUGAAUUAACUUUAAGUAAUAUAUCAAAAAACAAAGGGAGACAACUUAAGCCUCAAUGUUAACAUUUAUGUAAGUUAUUGACUUAUUUAUUUUGUUCUCGAAUGUAAGCCACAAUAUUAACGUUCGGAAAUCUUUAGUUGGGUGAGAUUAAUAGUUCUAAAUAUUAGGACCUCUUACCUAGUUCAAUAUGUAAAGAUUUAAGUAUUAAAGUUUUAGUUGACCUAAAAAUCCUAAAUAUUAGGAAAAUAUUUUAAAUUACAAUUCUAUCCAAUGUGAAAUAUAUUUUUAAAGGGUUAAAAAGGCGAACGAUAUUUCGCUAAGAUCUUCGUGCUUUUAAUAUAGUAUAGACAGAUAUAUAUUGUAAUUAGCCUAUUUGCUUAAUUCUUAAUUAAGAUAAGGUAUCUAUCUUUGCUUCUGUAUAUAUCUGUAUUUUAUUUUUUGUUAAUUGUCCUGUUUGUGUUUGUCAAGGCCUUUCGCUCAAGCAUGUCAGAUUGUCAGUUUUCAUAGAGUUUAUCCAAUUGAAGGUAUUUGUGUCAUUAAUAUCAUAAAUACUUAGUUUCUGGUGCCAUAAGGAAACAAUAUGGAGAGUUGUAGACUCCAUGGAUGAUUGCCAGUUCUUGGUAGGAAGUCUGUUAUACUUGUCUUUUGUAAUAAAUAUAUCAAUAUUCUUUUUGGUUUGAUCGUAAUUGUGGUUUUGGACUGUAAAGAUCCGAUCGGUCGUUUUGAGUAUUUAUACUUCCCUCACCAGUUCUCGGGCAUGACUAGCCCCGUAUGAUGUAUUGUGACCUAUGUAAAUCGUCGGUUUUGGUCUUUAGGUUAAUCGGAACAGAUAUAUAAGAAAGAUUCUCAACUUGAAGCUUUAAAUUUGAAAGAUUUAACCAAGUUUUGACUUUUUAGUAUUCGAUCUCGGAUUUGAAUUUUUAUGAUUUGGUUGGCUCCGUUAGGUGAUUUUGGACUUGGAAUAGCAUCCGAAAUGUAAUUUGGAGGACCAUGGUAGAAUUAGGCUUGAAUUGGCCGAAUUGAAAAUUUGGCGUUUUCUGGUUGGCAGUAGAAAUCUUGAUAUCAGGGUCGGAAUGGAAUUCCGAAAGUCAGAGUAGGUCUGUUGUGCCGUUUGUGACGUGUGUAUAAAAUUUCAGGUCAUUCGGAUGAGAUUUGAUAGGUUUUUACAUCGUUUGCGAAAUUCGGAAGUUUGGAAAUCCUUAGGCUUGAAUCCGAGGGUGAUUUGGUGUUUUGGUGUUGUUUUGAGGGUUCCAAAGGUUGGAAUAAGUUUGAAAGGUGAUAGGUGACUUGUUCGUAUUUUUUGCUGAGGUCCCGGGGGCCUCCGGAUGAUUUCGGAUAGUUUUCGGAAAGUUUGAACUUGACAAAAUGCAGCUGGUCUUGCUGCUUCUGUCAUAUCCGCACCUGCGGAUUGGGGACCGUAGGUGCGCGCUCCGCAGGAGCGAAAAAGAGGCGCAGGUGCAUGGAGGACCACAGGUGCGACUUGGUAAGCUACUUGGGCCUUAUAUCUUGUGUUUAUGGCGAUUAUUCCAUUAUUUAAUCAUGAUAUUAGUGGAAAAAUUUGAGAAGAAAUUGGGAGAUUAGCGCUUGAAAUUAGAUAGUUCAAAUUGGGGAUUCGAGGGGCCAUUUGGGGUCCGAUUUUAAUGAUUUUGGUGUGUAUAGACUUGGAGUAAAAGGAGUUUCUAGUUUUGUGAUUUUUGUUGGAUUUCGAGACGUGGGCCCGGGGGCCGAAUGUGAGCAAAUUCGGGAUUUUGGGUCUAAUUUGAUAAUUUUCGUGUGGGUUUUGUUCCUUUGGCAUGUAUUGAUGAUAUGAUUCUGAUUUUGGAUAGAUUCGGGGCGAUUUGAGGCCGAGUCGAGACGCAAGAGCAUCGCGGUGUAGAUUUUCGUCCGAUUUGAGGUAAGUAAUGAUUGUAAAUCUAGUACUGAGGGUAUGAAACCCUGGAAUUUCGUGCUAUUUUGAUAAAUGAGGUGACGCACAUGCUAGGUGACGGGCGUGUGUGCGUGCACCAGUAGGGACUAUGACUUGGCCCGUUCCGUGGCAAUUGUAAAGUCGCAUGUUUUAAUAAACUCUAUAUGAUAUCUAUGUGUUUUAGAAAUGACUCUGUUAACUUGGGUUGAAUAUCAUGUUUGGGGCUUUGUGUCGUACUGUUUGGACCCUCAGGGGUAUUUUAUUACUAUCCUCGCACUGUUUUGAUUCGAAAGCGUAUCUUCAGUCAUGAUUUUUACCUAUUUAUUGUCUGAUUCAGUUUCAUUACUUUGUUUUUAAAUAUAUGAAAGUUGUUUGGGCUGAGUUCCCUAAUUUUUCACUGAAAUGCUCGAGUGACUUGUGAGGUUGAUGAUUGAGAGAGGCCAAGGGCCUAUUGGUGAGGAUUAUAUAAUAAUGGAUCGGGCUGCACGCCGCAGCGAUAUAUAUAUAUUCUUCCGGAGUUUGCACACCCCCAGUGAGCGCAAUCGACUAUAUAUUUAUGGAUCGAGUUGUACGCCACAACUGUUAUUAUAAGGUACCUAUUGAGCGUGAGUGCUGAGUAUGAGCGUUGAUUGAUGAGAGUUGAGUCACGAGUGACUGAGAAGCUUGCCCGAGGUGCUAAAUAUAUAUGAGUGAUUGUUUGCCCGAUGGACUUGUUUUUGUGAAAUUACUAUUUUCACUUUUUUUUAUACUGAGCCUCUAAUGAAAAUGUUGAACAAAUGUUUUAAACAACUAUCAUUGAAAUUGAAAUUUUUACGAGAUGUUCGAAAUUUAACUGUUGAUCUGAACCUUGUUAUUUUCACUGAGCCUUUAUAUUAUGAAUCUGUAUAUGAUUUUAAAUGCUCGUCACUGCACUCGGUCUUUAUUUAACUUUAUUACUUACUGAGUUGGCGUACUCACAUUACUCCAUGCACCUUGUGUGCAGAUUCAGGUAUUUUUGACCCCGGUAGCGGGUGUUGAUUACUUAGUGGCAGGUUCAUCGGAAUUAGCAAGUUAACUGCCUGGCGAUCACAGCCUUGCUUUCCUCCCUCCUUAUUCUCCCUUAGUUGUAUUCAGUGACUUUCCGCAUUGUUUUUCUAUUUUAAACACUUUGUAAAGGUUUAUUGUUAAAUAGCUUUGAUUUUAUCCUAAGAAUGAAAAUAUUGAUUGGUUUUGGAAUUGUGUCGGCUGGCCUAGUUCCAUGAUAGGCGCCAUCAUGACUGGGUUGGUUUUGAUGUCGUGACAUGGACGAACAGUACGAUGCCUGAACACUAAAGAAUUGAGCAUAAUUGGUAUACUUUCUUAGUGAUUGUUUCAGAUUUAUGGAACUCUCAAAUAGUUUAGGCAUAUCAGCUGCUUGUUAAUCUGUGGAAGUUCUUAACUUUUGUGACUUGCUAGACUGUUUUGUGAAUGUACUAGUGAAUUAUUUCCUUGACAAGGUAUGUUCCUCUUGCGUGCUUGGUGCAGUCUUAAAUGUUAGUCAAUUUGCAAUGAUCAUUAGAGUUUUAUAUUUCAGAUAUGGAAUCUAGUGAAAAUCAAUAAGUGAGUUGGAGAAAUAUGGAUGUAGUAAAUUUUUUUUUAGAAACUUGUAUUCAAAAAGUAUCCUUAAACGGGAGACUUGGAAGUAGUUUGAAGCCGGAUUUAUGGAACAAGAUUAAGCUAGCUUUGGAGACUUCUCAUGGUUUUAAUGUUACCCAAAAGCAGAUGAAGAAUCAUUAUGAUUAUCUAAUACCAUUCUAAUGUCUACCAGUGAGUGCCAAUAACUAAAAAAACUGGCAAUAUUUAUGAUCCAGCAACCAAUACCAUUCUAAUGUCUAUUAGUGAGUGGGAUGAGUACAUAAAGGUUAGUUCAUUAUUUAGUAAAUUAUUCUUCUUUUUUUCUGUAGAAAAAUGGUUUGACGUGUAUACUAAGAGUGUGAUCUUAUAUAUUUGGAUAUAGGCUCAUCCAAAAACUAAGACACUGAAGACUUCACCUCUACCCUUUCCGGAUCUGUAAAGCACUUAAGAAUCCAAGUUGUACAAAUCCCCGGCCUAGAGUCUCAAAUUUAUCAACUAAUAUAGAUAAAAAUACACUUGAUGAUGUUGAAGAUCUACUUAGUGACAAAAAUGAUAGAACUAAUAUAAUUCUGCAGUUCUAGUAGAAAGGAAAAAUACAGGAAAGAAAAGAAAAAUUACAUCGUCUCAAUUGGAAAUUGAUGAUAUGAUGAGUACUGCUUUGGAGCUACUGAUUAAAAAAAAAUAGCGCACCUAAUGUUGAGGAAUGCAUGAUGAAAUUAGAGGGACUUGCAUGGGAAGAACCAUUAUAUAGUGCAUAUGUUAGUAUACUUUGUGAAGGUGAUAGCUAUAGGCAAGCAUGGAUACAAAUGACAGAGGUCGACAAGUUGGAGAGUUGGGUCAAAGCCAUGGGGAAAAAAAGGGGAAUGCUUUAAUUUCUCUAAUUAGCUGGAAUAAAUAUUAGAUGUUGAUUUUAUGGAACAUUUUCUUUAUUUGUUUCCAGCUAGUAUUAUUAUGGAACUUUGUGAUACUAUUUUAUACUUAUUGAACAUGUUUUGUUCGUGAAAUACACUUUUUGGUGUCUUGUUAUGCUUGAUGAGUACAAAAUAAAUUUUUAUAAUUAUUUUAUUUUGCUUCUGUUAUUUUUUAUGUUUGUAAAAUAUAUACCAUAUUAUGCUUACUAUUGUUUAUUGUAUUUCUCCUUGUUAAGCAGAUUGGACAUGGUAUCGAUGAUCAGAUAUUAUUGUUGAUGUACUUAUAUUGGCAUAGAAACAAUUAUAAACUGGAGUAUGAUAAAAGAAAUAAGGAUUUAACAUCGUCUUUAUCUGGUCAAAAGUAUACCUUAGAAUUAUUGUUGGCACUAGUCGACAAUAUAUAGAAUUAAUGCACAUGUCACGUGAUGUAUAUGUUCGGCUAUGUCAGCAUUUUAGGUACAAUGGAUGGCUUAUAGAUAGUAAACAUAUAUCUGUCGAAGAGAAGAUAGCUAUUUUCUUUAUUAUUAUAGGACAUAACGAGCGUUUUGUGGUUAUUAAGAGAAGAUUUCAACAUUCAUUGCAAUCGGUUCACAAGUACUUUCAUGAGGUUCUUGAUGCAAUGAUGAAGUUUGCAAAUGAGAUGAUAACACCUACUAUAUUUGAUACGAAUCUGAAUAUUCCUUGUGCUAAUAACAGGUUACGAAGAAUUUUUAAGGUAUUUUUUGUCAUAUUAUUUUUAUAGAAUUUCACAAAAAAUAAUUUUUUUUCAUUACUUUUAACUUAAUUUUAUGUAUUGGCAGGGAGCAAUAGGUGCACUAGAUGGGACAUUAGUACAUGAUGUUAUUCCAGCUAAUCAACAGAUUGUUUACAAAGGAAGAGGAAAGGGUAGAUGUUAUCAAAAUGUUUUGGCAAUAUGUGACUUUGAUAGGUUUUAAAUGUUCUUGCCUUAUGUUUUGACGAUCUAACAAACUUACUGUUAAGAACCAGAUAGGGAACCUGAACUACUCGGACUAUACUGCAAGUUUAACGAAUUUCAGCUAUAGGUGAACUGCUACAGCUUCAGGAGCUAAGAACCCAAACAAGGAACUGAUACCCUUGUGGUUUCCUCAUCACAGUACAAAGUCAAUUGGUCACAGCUGGAAAUGAAGUGACUGAUUGUACUAUUUCUGUCGCACUGCACUGUCCAGCGCCCAUUCAUUCUCUGACCAACUAAAGUGCUCACAUCAUUUCAAGUGAUGUGAUCAAGGUGUAUCUACAAUGAGUUUACACAAAAUAUCACUUGAAUGUUUCAGUUUCUUAUUCAAGUUUCUAGCCAAAAACAGAGAAAUCAAUCCUCACAAGCUU
rnacentral:lncRNA from 1 species